UCGGGAAUUUUGGGCAAUGGGGGAAACCCUGACCCAGCAACGCCGCGUGAAGGAUGAAGUAUUUCGGUAUGUAAACUUCGAAAGAAUAGGAAGAAUAAAUGACGGUACUAUUUAUAAGGUCCGGCUAACUACGUGCCAGCAGCCGCGGUAAUACGUAGGGACCAAGCGUUGUUCGGAUUUACUGGGCGUAAAGGGCGCGUAGGCGGCAAUUCAAGUCAUCUGUGAAAUCUCCGGGCUUAACUCGGAACGGUCAGAUGAUACUGCGUUGCUAGAGUGCAGAAGGGGCAAUCGGAAUUCUUGGUGUAGCGGUGAAAUGCGUAGAUAUCAAGAGGAACACCUGAGGUGAAGACGGGUUGCUGGGCUGACACUGACGCUGAGGCGCGAAAGCCAGGGGAGCAAACGGGAUUAGAUACCCAUGUAGUCCCUGAGCGGGCUGGCAAGGCGCAU
rnacentral:rRNA from 1 species